rnacentral:rRNA from 1 species
AGAGUUUGAUCCUGGCUCAGGACGAACGCUGGCGGCGCGCCUAACACAUGCAAGUCGAACGGAAUGCGGAGAGGAUUUAUCUUUUCUGUGUUUAGUGGCGAACGGGUGAGUAACGCGUGAGGAACCUGCCUCAAAGAGGGGGACAACAGUUGGAAACGACUGCUAAUACCGCAUAAGCCCACGGUCCCGCAUGGGACAGAGGGAAAAGGAGCAAUCCGCUUUGAGAUGGCCUCGCGUCCGAUUAGCUGGUUGGUGAGGUAACGGCCCACCAAGGCGACGAUCGGUAGCCGGACUGAGAGGUUGAACGGCCACAUUGGGACUGAGACACGGCCCAGACUCCUACGGGAGGCAGCAGUGGGGAAUAUUGCACAAUGGGGGAAACCCUGAUGCAGCGACGCCGCGUGGAGGAAGAAGGUCUUCGGAUUGUAAACUCCUGUUGUUGGGGAAAAAGAGGAUGGUACCCAACAAGGAAGUGACGGCUAACUACGUGCCAGCAGCCGCGGUAAGACGCCUAUU